GGGAAGUUAGCUGAGAUGGAUUAGCGCGUGCCUGAAGAGCAUGAGAGGUUGGUUCGAUUCCAACACUUCCCA
rnacentral:tRNA from 4 species